rnacentral:rRNA from 1 species
AGCGAACGCUGGCGGCAGGCCUAACACAUGCAAGUCGAACGAACCCUUCGGGGUUAGUGGCGGACGGGUGCGUAACACGUGGGAACGUGCCUUUAGGUUCGGAAUAACUCCGGGAAACUUGUGCUAAUACCGAAUGUGCCCUUCGGGGGAAAGAUUAAUCGCCUUUGGAUCGGCCCGCGUCUGAUUAGCUAGUUGGUUGAGGUAAUGGCUCACCAAGGCGACGAUCAGUAGCUGGUCUGAGAGGAUGAUCAGCCACAUUGGGACUGAGACACGGCCCAAACUCCUACGGGAAGCAGCAGUGGGGAAUCUUGCGCAAUGGGCGAAAGCCUGACGCAGCCAUGCCGCGUGAAUGAUGAAGGUCUUAGGAUUGUAAAAUUCUUUCACCGGGGACGAUAAUGACAGUACCCGGAGAAGAAGCCCCGGCUAACUUCGUG